rnacentral:lncRNA from 1 species
UUUUGGAGACCCAGUAGGAAAGUCCUCCCUGUCAUCUGUUGUAGCCGGGGAGCAGGCGGCCACGUUCUGGGACCUAAGCUCAUUCAUUGCUCAGUUCCCCAGGUCCUGAAUCCAGCCUCACAUCCCACGCCACACAGGCUGUGGCACAAAAGGGACAAACACCCUCAAGACCUAGGCCAGAUAAUUAUCAAGCAAAUUCCCUUCAAUUUCCUGCCUUCACCCCCACCCCCACCCUCGGGCACUGCCUGCUGCGCGUUCCCUGAUUCGGCCCCGGCUGUGCAAUCAACGCCAGGUAACCUGCGGGGCCCUGUAAUUGCUCUGGAGUUGCCUGGGACUUUGCGAGGAGGACCCCAACAGCCCAACUGUCAGGGAGACUACUGUGAUCAGUGCUGUGUAGGAGGAGCUGGGAGGAAGGAUGUCACAUUCAAUUCAGAGUCCAUUAGGAUCCAGACGCUCCCCUGCAAUGACUUCCUAAUCCAGACAGCGCAUGCAAAACCGUACUCAUGUCUACCUGGCACCCAAAUUAGCGGCAUUAAGAGUUUGGCUUUGCAGAUGGAGAAAACUGAACUCAAGACUUGUUUGCUGGACAGUCCUGAGUGAAUCAUCUCUUCUCUUCCUCAGUGUGACAGAAUGAGAGUUUCUCGUCCGGCUGGUGUGGAGAUGAGAUUUGGGGACUCUUCUGUUAAUAAUGACCUUUUUGGAUUUAUGCCCAGGACUUAGAGAUAUUAUCUUCGGAUCCAGGUAAUGAGGUCGCAACUGAUCCUGAACAAAUGGAGGAAGUUAUUUAAUAAUUAUAACGCGCUGUCUGAGGGGGGACCUUUCAUUUGUUGGGAUGAGAGACAUCUGUUUAUCCUCACUCUCAAGCAGAAGAUUGUGAUAUUUCGGGGUUAAUUCUGGAUGGAAUCCAGUUUGCUUUCUGCCUUUGUUGUUUUGUCUUGGCUUUGACUUUGUUUGAAGGCCCUGCUGUGUUCGCCAUGAGAGGUCGCUACAGUGGAAGGAACAUUACUGGAAACCAGGAAAACUUGCAGGACUUGUGAACGACAGCGGAAGCUGCAAAGUGUGGUGGAGAUCUCUGUCCUGCUGUUUAAGAAGUGGGCCUCCGAGGGUCUGAGCCUAGCCACCUAGAGGAGAGUGGUCUGGCCAUCAUAGAGUUCCUCAUGCCACAUCUCAUGAGCACUUACCUUCUCGUACAUAAAUAUCGGGCAGUGGAAUCGGAGCAUGUGUCCCCUGACUGGAAGCAGUGACAACCACGGCAGCAGGUUUAUUUUUAAAUAAAGAUUGGAAAGUUACAAGG